AAACUCACCACCCUCAUCACAUCUUUCUCCUACAACUUUUUGUGUGAUUUCUCUCUCCUUUCUUUUCUUCAAAGGGAGAGAGAAAAAUAAAAGAAUAAUAACAAUAAAAAAAAAAUAAACAAUCAACAUUUGUAAUAGAAAGAUGGCAUCUUCAAUGAGAGUGGCAGUUUUUCUUGGCAUGAUUGCAGCUCUUAUUUCAAUAGUAGCUGCUACAGAACCCGCUACUUUUUCUCUCGAUGUUAGUCACAUUCCCACAAACGAAACUCAACUUCUUACCGUAGAAAGUGGUGCUGCUUCAUAUGAUCAAGCAAUUGCUUGUGUCCUAAUGUUGGUGGCUUUGGUGUUUACCUACCUCUUUCAUUAAAUGAAGGUCAUAAGAGAGACACAUUAUUUAUUGUAACACCAUAUGGGAAUAUUUUUGUUGACUAAAGAUUUAUU